rnacentral:rRNA from 1 species
UACAGAGGGGGCAAGCGUUAUUCGGAAUUAUUGGGCGUAAAGGGCGCGUAGGCGGCUUGGCAAGUGGAUGGUGAAAUCCCUCGGCUUAACCGAGGAACUGCCGUCCAAACUGCUUCGCUUGAGACCGGGAGAGGUGAGUGGAAUUCCCAGUGUAGCGGUGAAAUGCGUAGAUAUUGGGAGGAACACCAGUGGCGAAGGCGGCUCACUGGGCCAUUGCUGACGCUGAGGCGCGAAAGCGUGGGGAGCAAACAGG